GGCCUCUUCGGCUGCAGAGAACUCCACAAGGUGGCGCUGUGACUCUUCAAGCUUUACAGUCAUGGCUGAGAGUUGUGCUUGGACAUCUUCUGCUUCCUGCUGAUAUCGGCGCUUCCAUGACUCCGAUACGCCCAACUGGUCCUUUGUCUUGUUCAGAUCCUCCUGAAGUUGGGCGAUCUGAACUUCCAACUCGGUCACCCUGAUCGGACGCCUUUUCUCAGUAACUGGACUU
rnacentral:misc_RNA from 1 species